AUUGAACGCUGGCGGCAGGCCUAACACAUGCAAGUCGAGCGGAGCGGCGGUCGCGUGAGUAAGGCCUAUGAAUCUGCCUGGUCGCGGGGGCUAACGUCCGGAAACGGGCACUAAUACCGCUUACUAUCAGAUUAGCCUCGGUCGGAUUGGCUAGUUGGUGGGGUAAAGGCAUAGCAAGGCGACGAUCCGUAACUGGUCUGAGAGGAUGAGCAGGCAAACUGGAACUGAGACACGGCCCAGACUCCUACGGGAGGCAGCAGUGGGGAAUAUUGGACAAUGGGCGAAAGCCUGAUCCAGCCAUGCCGCGUGUGUGAAGAAGGUCUUCGGAUUGUAAAGCACUUUAGGCUGAGAGGCGGUACCAGCAGAAUAAGCACCGGCUAACUACGUGCCAGCAGCCGCGGUAAUUC
rnacentral:rRNA from 1 species